AACGCGAAGAACCUUACCCAGGUUUGAAAUAGGGAGGACGUAAUCAGAAAUGGUUAUUCCCGUAAGGGUCUCUCUACAGGUGCUGCAUGGCUGUCGUCAGCUCGUGCCGUGAGGUGUUGGGUUAAGUCCCGCAACGAGCGCAACCCUUAUCGUUAGUUGCCAACACGAAAGGUGGGAACUCUAACGAGACUGCCUGGGUUAACCAGGAGGAAGGUGAGGAUGACGUCAAGUCCGCAUGGCCUUUAUAUCUGGGGCUACACACGUGCUACAAUGGUCGGUACAGAAGGAAGCGAAGUCGAGAGAUGGAGCCAAUCCCGAAAGCCGAUCCCAGUUCGGAUUGUAGUCUGCAACUCGGCUACAUGAAGUUGGAAUUGCUAGUAAUGGCGUGUCAGCAAUAGCGCCGUGAAUACGUUCCCGGGCCUUGUACACACCGUACGUC
rnacentral:rRNA from 1 species